GGGCUACUUCUAGUCUUGUAAUUGGAAUGAGUACAACUUACAUCUCUUCACGAGGAUCAACUGGAGGGCAAGUCUGGUGCCAGCAGCCGCGGUAAUUCCAGCUCCAGAAGCGUAUAUUAAAGUUGUUGCAGUUAAAACGCUCGUAGUCGGGUUUCGGGUCGGGCCGAGCGGUCUGCCGAUGGGUAUGCACUGUUUGGCGCGGCCUUCUUUCCGGAGACCGCGGCUACUCUUAACUGAGCGGGCGUGGGAGACGGAUCGUUUACUUUGAAAAAAUCAGAGUGUUUCAAGCAGGCAGCUCGCUCUUGCAUGGUACAGCAUGGGAUGAUUGAAUAGGACUCCGGUGCUAUUUUGUUGGUUUCGAACACCAGGAGUAAUGAUUAACAGGGACAGUCAGGGGCACUCGUAUUCCGUCGAGAGAGGUGAAAUUCUCAGACCAAUGGAAGACGAACCACUGCGAAAGCAUUUGCCAGGGAUGUUUUCACUGAUCAAGAACGAAAGUUAGGGGAUCGAAGACGAUCAGAUACCGUCGUAGUCUUAACCAUAAACCAUGCCGACUAGGGAUUGGAGGGUGUUCGUUUCGACCUCUUCAGCACCUUACGGGAAACUAAAGUCUUUGGGUUCCGGGGGGAGUAUGGUCGCAAGGCUGAAACUUAAAGGAAUUGACGGAAGGGCACCACCAGGAGUGGAGCCUGCGGCUUAAUUUGACUCAACACGGGGAAACUUACCAGGUCCAGACAUUGUUAGGAUUGACAGAUUGAGAGCUCUUUCUUGAUUCGAUGGGUGGUGGUGCAUGGCCGUUCUUAGUUGGUGGAGUGAUUUGUCUGGUUAAUUCCGAUAACGAACGAGACCGUAGCCUGCUAAAUAGUCCCGCGAACUUCUUGUUGGCGGCCGACUUCUUAGAGGGACAACUUGUGACCAACAAGUGGAAGUUUGCGGCAAUAACAGGUCUGUGAUGCCCUUAGAUGUUCUGGGCCGCACGCGCGCUACACUGAAGCACUCAACGAGUCCACCUCGACCGACAGGUCUGGGAAACCUUUUGAAAUUGCUUCGUGAUGGGGAUAGAUUAU
rnacentral:rRNA from 1 species